CCUACGGGAGGCUGCAGUGAGGAAUAUUGGUCAAUGGACGAGAGUCUGAACCAGCCAAGUAGCGUGAAGGAUGACUGCACUAUGGAUUGUAAACUUCUUUUGUCAGGGAAUAAAGCGAGGCACGUGUGCCUUUUUGCAUGUACUUUAUGAAUAAGCAUCGGCUAACUCCGUGCCAGCAGCCGCGGUAAUACGGAGGAUGCGAGCGUUAUCCGGAUUUAUUGGGUUUAAAGGGAGCGUAGAUGGGUUGUUAAGUCAGUUGUGAAAGUUUGCGGCUCAACCGUAAAAUUGCGAUUGAUACUGGCAGUCUUGAGUACAGGUGAGGUAAGCGGAAUGCGUGGUGUAGCGGUGAAAUGCUUAGAUAUCACGCAGAACCCCGAUUGCGAAGGCAGCUUACCAACCUGUGACUGACAUUGAUGCUCGAAAGUGUGGGUAUCAAACAGGAUUAGAUACCCUUGUAGUC
rnacentral:rRNA from 1 species